CUAUGUGUUGUUGGGUAGGGGAGCGUUCUGUAAGCCUGCGAAGGUGUGCUGUGAGGCAUGCUGGAGGUAUCAGAAGUGCGAAUGCUGACAUAAGUAACGAUAAAGCGGGUGAAAAGCCCGCUCGCCGGAAGACCAAGGGUUCCUGUCCAACGUUAAUCGGGGCAGGGUGAGUCGACCCCUAAGGCGAGGCCGAAAGGCGUAGUCGAUGGGAAACAGGUUAAUAUUCCUGUACUUGGUGUUACUGCGAAGGGGGGACGGAGAAGGCUAUGUUGGCCGGGCGACGGUUGUCCCGGUUUAAGCGUGUAGGCUGGUUUUCCAGGCAAAUCCGGAAAAUCAAGGCUGAGGCGUGAUGACGAGGCACUACGGUGCUGAAGCAACAAAUGCCCUGCUUCCAGGAAAAGCCUCUAAGCAUCAGGUAACAUCAAAUCGUACCCCAAACCGACACAGGUGGUCAGGUAGAGAAUACCAAGGCGCUUGAGAGAACUCGGGUGAAGGAACUAGGCAAAAUGGUGCCGUAACUUCGGGAGAAGGCACGCUGAUAUGUAGGUGAAGUCCCUCGCGGAUGGAGCUGAAAUCAGUCGAAGAUACCAGCUGGCUGCAACUGUUUAUUAAAAACACAGCACUGUGCAAACACGAAAGUGGACGUAUACGGUGUGACGCCUGCCCGGUGC
rnacentral:rRNA from 1 species